UCCGAAUUUUUGUUGAUUUUCAUUCGUUGCCAUGAACAUAUUUUGCAUGGAUUGCAUUCACGGUGCCAUUGGGCACCUGGCAUCAGUUGUUGCUGCUGUUGUGUCGGCUGCUGGGAAAAAUUGAAUAAAGUCACUGAUGAUUUACUAAUGGUUUUUUUUUUAUUGUAGAUAUUCAGCUGUACAAGUUCCAAAAACAAUAUGCAAUAAAAUAACUUUCUUUCUUUAUUUUGAUUUUUUCUGGCGUUACUUUGACGGAAAAUUCACAUUGACCGUUAUCUCGCUGAUCAGUCGACAUUGAAAUGAUUUGAGAUUUUUGAUUUAUUUAUUUCGAUAUAGAAAAAUGAGCAAAAUGUUAGCCUUAACAUUUCUUUUAUCUCGUUAAAAAAAAUGUAAUUUUAUAAAUAAUAGAGAAACACCGGACCUUCACUUUAUUGAAUGUUAAUAAAACUACAUAAAAAAAAUU